ensembl:ncRNA T12C9.9 ncRNA
UCAUUUGUGAAAUUCAAAUUUUGCUUCGACCAAUCAGCAGCGUUGGCCGCGCACAUCGCCCAACGAUGAUUGGUCGGAGUUUUAUAAUUCAGAAUUUCGAUU